GAACGCUAGCGGCAGGCUUAACACAUGACAAGUCGAGGGGCAGCAUGAGACGGAGAUUCGUCGAAGUCUUGAUGGCGACCGGCGCGAAGGGUGACGUAACGCGUGAGCAACUUGCCCGUUUCAGGGGGAUAACCGGUGGAAACGCCGACUAAUACCCCAUAGUAUCAAUUUAAGGCAUCUUUUAUUGAUUAAAGAAUUUCGGAAACGGAUAGGCUCGCGUGACAUUAGCUAGAUGGCGGGGUAACGGCCCACCAUGGCGACGAUGUCUAGGGGUUCCGAGAGGAAGGUCCCCCACACUGGAACUGAGACACGGUCCAGACUCCUACGGGAGGCAGCAGUGAGGAAUAUUGGUCAAUGGUCGGAAGACUGAACCAGCCAUGCCGCGUGAAGGUGACGGCCCUAUGGGUCUUAAACUUCUUUUGCAAGGGAGCAAUAAGGUUCACGUGUGGACUGAUGAGAGUACCUUGCGAAUAAGCAUCGGCUAACUCCGUG
rnacentral:rRNA from 1 species